CUUCGGGUAGAGGAGAAGGCACUCCAGUAAUUGGGCAAGGAGUCAUGAAGAGAAAAUGGGGAAUCCUGCUGGGGCUUCUAUGCAUCCAGAUUUGCUGGGUGACGGGAGUGAAGGUGGAGCAGAGUCCUUCAGUCUUGAGCCUCCAGGAGGGAGCCAACUCUACUCUGUGGUGCAAUUUUUCUGACAUAGUGAGCAGUGUGCAGUGGUUCCAGCAGAAUCCUGAAGGCAGCCUCAUCAGUCUGUUUUUCAUAGCUUCAGGGACGAAGCAGAAUGAAAGGCUGAGUUCCACAGUGAAUUCUAAGGAGCAGUAUAGUACACUACACAUCACAGCCUCCCAGCUGGAAGACACAGCCACCUACCUCUGUGUGGUGGAGGCACAGUGCUCCCAGGUGAUCUGCAGCCUGUACCCAAACUGCAGCUGCCUCAGCCAUGGUCCCUUCCACAGGACAGACUUGCACAGCAGCGUUUGCACAGCAUUAGGUUCCCUGAUUCAUUUUGUCAGUAUUUAA